GAACGCACCUUGCGCUCCUUGGCAUUCCGAGGAGCAUGCCUGUUUGAGUGUCGUUGAAUUCUCAGAACCCUCCUCACAGGUGGGUUUGGAUUGGUGGAGGAUGCAUUGGACUUGGACUUUUUGACUCCCUUUGCUUUGCUUCUCUGAAAUGGAUCGGCCUUACGGCUGCGAUUCACGAACCUAGUCGUCGGUAUGAUAAUGUCUUACCUGCUUCUAACCCGUGCCAGCCCGGCCCAGACGAGACUAUCGUCUCUAUCUAUCUACAAUUUGACCUCAAAUCAGGCAGGACUACCCGCUGAACUUAAG
rnacentral:misc_RNA from 1 species